CUGAAACACAAUGUAUUUGUGUAUCUAAACACAGAAAAAGUACAGGUAAAACACAAUAGGUACAAAGCAGUACACCUCUAUAGAGCACUUAACAUGAAUGAAAUUUACAGGACUAGAAGUUGCUCUGGGUGAAUCAGUGAGUGACUGUGAAGGCCUAGGACAUUACUGAACAAUACUGUAGACCUUAUAAACACUGUACACUUAGGCUAAAUCUAUAAAAAGCUUUUCUUCAAUAAAUUAGCCUUAGCUUACUGUAACUUUUUACUUCAUAUACUUAAAAUUUUAAAAUUUUUUACUCUUUUGUAAUAACACUUAGAACACAAACAUUGUACAGCUGUACAAAAUAUUUUCUUUAUAUCUUUAUUUUGUUAGCUUAUUUCUAAUUUUUCACUUUUUUGUUAAAAAUUAAGCCAUAGAAACAUACAUUAGGCUAGGCCUACACCAGGGCAGGAUCAUCAAUAUCACUGUCUUCCACCUCCACAUCUCUUUCUACUGGAAGGUCUUCGGGGGCACUAAUAAGCAUGGAGCUGUCAUCUCUGAUGAUAACAAUGCUUUCUUCUGGAAUACCUCCUGAAGGACCUGCCUGAGGUUGUUUUACAGUAAACUUUUUAAAAGUAAGUAUGAGUAGAUGCUCCAAAAUAAUAAUAAAAAGUACAGUAAAUACAUAAACCAGUGACACAGUCGUUUAUUCUCAUCAAGUAUAAUCUGCUGUACAUAACUGUAUGUGCUGUUUUUAUGUGAGUGGCAACACAGGUUUGUUUACACCAGCAUCAUCACAAACAUGUAACACGUUGCACUAUGACAGCACUAGGUGAUGGGAACUUUUCAGCUGCACUAUAAUCUUAUGGGACUACCACCAUACAUGUUGUCAAUCAUUGAUCAAAAUGUUGUUAUGUGGUGGCACAUGACUGUAUAUUGCUGGAUUUGAUUUGCUUAUAUUUCCUUGAGCUUGUUGGAUGUGUAGAUUGUUUUUCAUCAAGUUUGGGGCAUUAUUAGCCAUUAUUUGUUUAAAUAUUUUUUCUGUCCCCUUCUCUCCUCUUCUGGUAUUCCCAUUAUGAGCAUAUUUGUGUCCCACAUUUCUCUAAGGCUCCAUUCAUUUUUCUUCACUUUUUUCCAAGUCCAGAAUUUCCAUUUCUGUGUAUAGAAAUGGUGUAUGUGUAUAUUCUAUACUUUAUUGAUACAAUCAUUGUCAUCAUAUCUCCCUUUAAUUAAACAUAGUUGCUUUAAUUUCUUUGAAGAUACUUAUAAUAGCUGCUUUGAAGUCAUUGUUCACUAAGAUCAACAUCUGGUCCUUAUCAAGGUAAUUUCUAGUCUUUUUUCCUGUGUAUGAAUCACAUGUUCCUAUUUCUUUGCAUGUCUCAUUUUUACUGCACUGAACAUUUUAGGUACUACACUGCUGCAGCUCUGGAUAACGAUACUCUCUACUCCAGGAUUUGUCGCUGUUGUUUGUUCACUUAUUUGGUGAUGUGGCUAGACUAAUCCUGUGAAGUCCAUUCCCCCACUGUAUAGCCUCUAAUGACCCCAUUUAGAUUUUUUGUUAGUUUGUUUUUAUCUUUAAAUCUGGCUUCCUAAGGGUCAUCCUUACGUCAGUACAGGUUAGCAGUCAGCUACUGAUAGAUCAGAAGUUGUGCUUAAGCCCCUUGAGCCAGUAAGAUUUUUUGUUUUGUUUUGUUUUGUUUUGUUUUUCAGAGUCUUGCUCUGUUGCCCAGGCUGGAGUGCAGUGGGCGAUCUCGGCUCACUGCAACCUCCACCUCCCGGGUUCAAGCAAUUCUCCUGCCUCAGUCUCCCUAGUAGCUGGGAUUACAGGCACACGCCACCAUGCUCAGCUAAUUUUUGCAUUUUUAGUAGAGACAGGGUUUCGCCAUGUUGGCCAGGGUGGUCUUGAACUCCUGGCCUCAAGUGAUCCACCCGCCUCAGCCUCCCAAAAUGCUGGGAUUACAGGCGUGAGCCACCAUGCCUGGCCCCAAUAAGGUUUCCAUUCAUUACUGUUUGCUCUGUAGCUUGGAGACUGCUUUCACACUUCAGGGAGUUUAUAAGUUUGUCUCACAUUUAGUCAGGAACUAAUAGCAAAGCAAUUCCUUCUUCAGUUGCUUCUGAGAGAAUGCAGAUUUACGUAUGUGUACACUUUUCCAUAUCACCAAGUAUGACCGUGAUUUUAGCAAGGCCUCCUUUGCUCUUUCUCUGAUCUCCCUUUUAAACUUCUGGCUGGUCUUCCUCUAUAGGUAUUAUACCAUGCUGUUAGUCUCCACAUAAAGUCAGGCCUCUCAGGAAGGGCCAGGGUCUUGCCAGUCUUUAAGGCUUGCCCUGACCCCCUCCCUUGGCAGAGCCUCUGUAUUAUGGAGCAGUAUUUGGAAGAGAUGGGAGUUCUACUUUGGACCACACCCAUUGGAAUACUUCUUCCAUAACAAUAGCUCUUCUGCAACAUGAAGUUGGGUGGGAAAAUAAGUGCAGCCUCUAGUUCAGAUGUUAUGACCUCCACUAUUAUUGAGUUCUGUAAAUUUUGAAUAAAUUGAGUUUCAAUUUUGUGAAUCUUCUGAUCACUCUCCAGAGACUUUGAAUGAUUGCUUUUGCUAAUUUUAAGCAAUGAAACAGGUAUUUCUCUGGGAAGAAGUUCCACUGAACUCUUCACAGUGCCACCCAGAGGUCCCCCACAUUCCAAUUUUCAAUUGAUUACGCAGAAAGUGGUAAUCAAGUUUGGGAAUUUAACCUAGUCCAUGAAGCUGAUUAUAAAUGCAAAAAUGAUUCAUUUCUAAUUUUUAAAAGCUGGAAUUAAAGGUUAAUUUUUAAAAAUUAUAUACUAUGUUCUCCCUUAUUACCCGAGGUAACAGUAAGUUGCAUACAAAUGGAUGCAAGGGCAACGUACAACGCAAAAAAAUCAGUCUUGUUCAGUUUCGUAGGUGUCAUUGUAUCCAAGGCUGGAGUACUCAUAAAUGCCCAGGAUGUCAGUCUAUUAAAUACGUGCUCAUUCAUUCAUACUUUUUGCAUUUUGUCCAAAAAGGCUCAAGCAAUCUGUUCACCCAUGAAGAUUCCCAAAUGCAAAUUAUCUCAGUAAGAAUUACAGAGAAUCACUUUUCUAGUAAACAAUUCUACUAUGUUAAUAAAAGUUAUGUGUGACACCAUAGCCUUACUUUUCUUUCCAGAUCAACCCCAAGAUCAAAAAGAAGGAGAAAGUAUAAUAAA
rnacentral:lncRNA from 10 species